UUUUAUCAAAAAUUAUUUUAAUCAAAAUUCCAUUCUUCCUUUUCUCUCCACUAAGUAAUUCAACUUCAUGUACAUAAAUACAUACUUCAAAAUUUGUUAGCGAACUAAAAGAAAUCUUCAAACCUGUAUGAAAGUGUUUUGAAAUCAGAACAAAAAAACACGGAAGAAACAAAAAGCCAAGGGAAAGUGGAGAAAGCCCGAUGAAGUGUAAGACAAAACCAGGCCAAAAGUUAUAACAAUACAAGCAACAUCCUGCUCAACAUAUUAACAACCACAACAACAAAAAUAUACCAGCAGAAACAACAAAAGAGACACACCAAAAGAUUUACAGCCUCACGUUUCUUCGUUGCUUUUUCCCCACCCGCAAAAACCAGCUAACCAUGUGGCAAGUAAAUAGAGAGCUUCAGUGCAAAACGAAGAAGUAAACAAUAAGAAAAAAAGAAUUAGAAAAUGAGAAGUUAGGAAAUAGCUAUGCAAGCUGAGCAAAAGAUGUGGCGAGGUGCGUUAAUGCGGCCACAAUACAAGCGCAUGAUGAAGCAGAAGCAGAAGCAGAAGGAAGAGUAGAACAUUAAGACCAAAAAGACGUGGAAAAUGUCGAUGCAGCUGCGUCCGCCGUUGUUGUUGUUGUUGUUGCUGUCGUUGCGCC